CUUGUGGUUUGCGUGAAAAAAAAAGUAGCCAUAAACAAACAUUACGCAACACUGGCCAGCAAUUUUCAAAAUAGGAACACAUUCGCGCGCGUCGCGGCGGUUACGAAAACUGACAAAGGCGAUAGGAAACGUUCAUCAAUAUGGUUCCGACAAUCCGUCAUUACGAUUCCGGCCGGGUGUCCUGCCCAAAUGUGAAGAGUUAACGCUUUUCAAAUGUACCACAGGACAAACUUACACUUGCAGCCGUGUCACUGACUGUGAUGGACAAAACUGCCGCUAUUUACCAGUUGAAGUUGACAUCAGCACAGCGCGGAGGCGGCGCGCGCGCACUCGCUGCUCCAGUACACGCCCCCGCAGCCCGUCACCAGCGACCACACGUACGGGGUGAAGAACUCCUCGGGCCGCUCCUCUUCCACGUACCGGAAUUUUAGGUCGGGGAAUUUCUGAGGAAGUUAACAUUCAGAAUAGAAUUCGAUCCUAACCAAA